AUUAUAGGGGUUAAUCAAUUGCUUUCAUAUUUUAUAGACUAAUCUAAAUUUAGGUUGCUAAUCAGCCGCAAGUUACUUUAAUACUCUUUUUCAUUAUUCAUUUAGAAUAUGUUUCUAUAAUUCAUUUAGAAUAUGCAAGCAAUAAAAUAAUAUAGAUCAUGGAAUGAAAAAAAAAGUUUUUUAGAUUUAAUAUUGUCUUUUAUUGAUUAAUUAGCACGCUUAAGAAUUGCUGAGAGAAUAGCUCAGUGGAUAAUGCAGUGGCCUCACAUUCAAACAAAUCGAGUUCGUAUCCUGGCUGAUUCCAAAUUUUUAUAUCCGUUUUUUAUUCAUUAUUUUUUUGUCAUUCAUAGGAUCUGAAAUCCCUCUACUCGGAUUACUUUGAAAGAACACCUAUCAACUCACAAAACAGAUUUUUCGAGAGAUACUGACUUUGAUUUUUCAGACGUGGAAAAAUGUGACACUAGUGCAACGACGGCACUGCGGGACCACGUUCUUCUCGCACAAAAAGGACAUGCGCGGUGUUCAGUUGAUGCGGGGUUCGCACAUCUAAAGAUUAAAUUCCGGUGGCAUGAUUUAGAAACACUUCAUCAGCUGGCCCAUGUUAAAGAGAUGUCAUCUACAACCAACAGCCUGUAUGUUACCCCAAGUUGUCAUGGCGACAAUGGAAACCCGUUCUAGAGGGAUUUUUCAAACCAAUUAUUGUUUUAAGAAAAUUCCUGCACUUCCGGUUCCAGUCGAACCAGUGUGGUUAUGGGCAAAAUAAUACCUGAAGGCGAGGAAUAUUAGAUUCAAGUCUUGAAAGAACACGGAUUCCGGUUCAGUUCAUGUGUCCGUCCAAGCAUUAUUACGCAUAGGGAAUGUCAGCAGUGUUGCGAAGUGUGCGUGUGUUCGUCAGUCAAGACAGUUAAUCAUAUUAUCAGUGA